rnacentral:misc_RNA from 1 species
CAUGACAAACAUCAGCUUUCGAUUAAAUUAAAAAUUAUUAAAAUCGGUACACCCAGUAAAAAGUUAUUGCGGAUUUUCAAGAAUUUCCCUCGAUUUCUCUGGGAUCCCAUCAUCAGAUCCUGGUUUCCUUAUCAUGUUACUAAACUUGAGAUAUUUCCUUUCUAACAAAAAAAGAUUUAUCAAAAUCGGUACAUUCAGUAGAAAGUUAUGCGGUAUAAUACAACGUAGGUCGACGAAAAAAGCGUCAAGUAAAAACGCACUAUUAGAUAUAACUCGAAAAGUAGUUGUU